rnacentral:rRNA from 1 species
CCCUUAGAUGUUCUGGGCCGCACGCGCGCUACACUGAUACAUUCAACGAGUCUAAAACCUGGUCUGAUAGGGCUGGGUAAUCUUUUGAAUGUGCAUCGUGAUUGGGAUAGAUGAUUGCAAUUCUUCAUCUUCAACGAGGAAUGCCUAGUAAACGCAAGUCAUCAGCCUGCAUUGAUUACGUCCCUGCCCUUUGUACACACCGCCCGUCGCUCCUACCGAUUGAAUGUUCCGAUGAAUACCAUGGACUGAGAGUAUGAAUGGGUUCGCCUAUUUCUGCUUCUCGGGAAGUGGAGUAAAUCUUAACAUUUAGAGGAAGGAGAAGUCGUAACA